AGGGGUAAGGUAUGGUGAUUUGUACAGUGAUACAGAGGGGUAAGUUACUUAGGAUUGGGGAAUGGGGUAAGCCCAAAAGAGAAGGGCAAUAUACAGGCUGGACCUCUUCUGGAUAAAUCCUCCUCCUCUUGAUGGGUUUUGGCAAUUUGUUGUAAGAGCUGGACUUUAUUGCAGGUGAUGGAUGGACCAGUUGCUGAAAACAGAACUGUCUGCUAAGGAAAGAUGAGGAAGCAUUGGUUUCUUUGGAAUGAUAAGGACCAGCCUUGGAGACAAAAAGGAAGCAAAGACACCAAAGUUGACCAAAUCUGAAGAGAAUAUUUGUGAGUAGGUGACAAGGUUCUGAGAAUCACCAGUUCACCUACCUUAACUACCUGAAGCAGAACUGCAGGGCAGCAAGGCACAGAACAAUCUUCUAUUCUCUGCACAUGCCUCUGAUAUCAAGACGGGUCACCAUCAGCUCUCCCAGAACGACCUAUGAAAAUGCAGCCAAGUUCUCACUCUUUCCAAGUCUGCUUAUAUAAUGUCGUCCAGUCUUGGAGGUACAGUCUCAAUAAUUGCUCCCAAAACCGAAUCAAUUUUUCCACAAAGGAUACAGACUUCAUUAGGUUGGACUGAUCCACCUUACUUGAAUCCUAGACAAUGUUUGUUCUUUGGAUAGAACA